GGGUGUAUAGCUCAGUUGGUAGAGCAUUGGCUUUUACCUAAUGGUCGCAGUUCAAGUCCUGUUAUACCCA
rnacentral:tRNA from 1 species